UGAAGCUGCGACGAACAUUCAUGAACAAGUCUUUCAAUGCAUGACAAUUCCAGUUACUCCGAUGCCUUGGAAACAUGUAAAUCAACUUAUUUUUGACUCUGAGCCCUCACUCUACCAGGUCUGCCAACCCCACCAGGGCUGAGCCACCCCAGUGACUGAGGAUGGUCCCAGAGUCUGGGACCCACACAGCUGCUCCUCCCUGAGGUCCUUCUCCUGCCCAAGGCAUUAGAAGAAAAGUACUAAUUAGUACCUAAAACUGUUAUCCUGUCAUAUAUAUAAAGCACUUAGCACCCAGGCUCAUAGAAGACACUUGAUGAAUGUUGUUUCCUUUCCCCAAAGAGGAGGGAAGUUUGUCCUCCUCAACCCUGGCCACAUUCCCCACCCUAAAAACUGGGGUUUCGGGGUGAGAAGACCUUUCUGUUUAUUCCUGCUCACUGUUAUGAACCAUUUACUCAGCUUGGAACCCUAACCCAUUUUGACCAUCCUCUGUUGCAAAGGUAGAUCUCAGUGCUCAGCAAACAGGGGCAGUUGGAUGAAUGAAUGGAUGGUUUACUGUUGUAAAUUUUAUAGAUGUGGACGUGAACUCUUGAAGACAGUUGUGCCUCGUGGGGCCAUCUCGGCUCUAGAAGAAGGUUCUGCUACAGCCAGCUUCUCUAAAUUCCCACACAGUUCCCGCUGGGGGAGGCAGCGGGGCUCAGGAGACAGGCCACUGGGGCCUGCCUUGGACGCUUGGAUCCCUUGGAGAGCCA